UACGGAGGGUGCAAACGUUGCUCGGAAUUACUGGGCGUAAAGCGUGCGCAGGCGGUUGUGCAAGACAGAUGUGAAAUCCCCGGGCUCAACCUGGGAAUUGCAUUUGUGACUGCACGGCUAGAGUGUGUCAGAGGGGGGUAGAAUUCCACGUGUAGCAGUGAAAUGCGUAGAGAUGUGGAGGAAUACCGAUGGCGAAGGCAGCCCCCUGGGAUAACACUGACGCUCAUGCACGAAAGCGUGGGGAGCAAACAGG
rnacentral:rRNA from 1 species